rnacentral:rRNA from 1 species
AGUGAACGCUGGCGGUAGGCCUAACACAUGCAAGUCGAACGGCAGCACAGUAAGAGCUUGCUCUUACGGGUGGCGAGUGGCGGACGGGUGAGGAAUACAUCGGAAUCUACUUUUUCGUGGGGGAUAACGUAGGGAAACUUACGCUAAUACCGCAUACGACCUACGGGUGAAAGCAGGGGAUCUUCGGACCUUGCGCGAUUGAAUGAGCCGAUGUCGGAUUAGCUAGUUGGCGGGGUAAAGGCCCACCAAGGCGACGAUCCGUAGCUGGUCUGAGAGGAUGAUCAGCCGCACUGGAACUGAGACACGGUCCAGACUCCUACGGGAGGCAGCAGUGGGGAAUAUUGGACAAUGGGCGCAAGCCUGAUCCAGCCAUACCGCGUGGGUGAAGAAGGCCUUCGGGUUGUAAAGCCCUUUUGUUGGGAAAGAAAAGCAGCAGGUUAAUACCCCGCUGUUCUGACGGUACCCAAAGAAUAAGCACCGGCUAACAUCGUG